GUCUAUCUACAUUUUCGUACGAAAGUGUAAUAAACACAUUAAAGAACAAGGAAAGGAGAGAGAAAGAUGCCAGGAAGCACCGAGACGGCCCGCGGGCACACACAGCUUCCCCUACGCUCUCCCACCUGCCGUGAGCACAGCGGUCACCCAGCCUGCAGGGUGGGGUCAUUUCCGCCAGGAUGCAGUGACGACCUCCCCGUAGCGGUCACCAUUUGGGAACCCCCAUUCCGGACUGCAGGAGGUCAGGUUCUCCAGUUCCCAGAGCACCUCCUGAGGCCUGGCCCUGAGACAGGAGCAGGCAUCAGAGAGAAACCGAUGUGUGUACCCCGAGCACUGUCCACUGGGGGGAGUGUCCAAUUCCCUUCCUGCCUGCAGACUGCAGCAUCAGUCAAGUGCUGGGCACCAGGUCUGCGGGGGUGAACAAGACAAACAUAACCCCUUCCCCCUUGGAAUUUACAGUUUGGGAAGGAAGGCAGACCUAACCAAGAAGGCACACAAAUUGUGUGGUUGCAAUUGGCUAAUAAUCAAUUACAGGUGCAAUGGUACCAUGAAGAAGCAGCACAGACAGGCAGAUAGACACCAGCCCAGGAAUGCAGAGGGAAGGGGGGAUGUGGUGGUCUCACAAAGUGAUGGAGGCCAGUUCCCUAGCAGAUUGGGGAUCAGGAGUAGAGGAGGCGAACCCGAGUUAAAUCUGGAAGGAUGGGGCAAGUUUGUUGAACAGGGGCCUUAGAAUGAAGGGGUUCUGGGCAGAGGGGACUGCAGGAGUGCAGACUCCGAAGUGAGAAUGCUGGGAGAACCUAUCCCUUGCCCGGAGGGCAGGGGGUAGGUAAUGCAAAGUUAUAAGUUGCGGGGCAGAGUGUAGCGGGAGGUAGGCUCUAGAGGGAGAGUGUACCGUGCACACCUCCUUUAGUAACUAGAUGCCGCCUGUGGGUACCAGGAAGCCACAGACAGGCUUCUAACAGAGGCAAGAUGCAACCAGAUUUCUGGGUUUAAGAGGUCACUGGGGCUGCAUGUAUUCUUGGGAAAGGGAGCCUGGCUGGCAAAGGUAGGUUCUUAGGAAGGAGGCCUCCUUCUUGUCAUUAUGGCUGCUGGGGACCCUGGUACUGGAGAAGAUCAGAGCUGGGAUGCUCCAGUGGGUCCAGAACUGAGAGCAAGACCGGUGAGAACAGGAGCAUCCCAGGUGCCUACAAGCUUCUGCCGCCAGGCUGCGAUCUGCCCAGAGAGCUGGGCGUGAACAUGAAACCGUGCUGGAGCUGCUCUCCAAAUGUGCCUGGUUUUAAAGCAUUUGCUGGGAACUGGGCUGUCUCGGGUUCUAAUGGGUACACAUGACAUUUAUGUUUUUAAAUUAUCUGAAAACAUUGGGAGAGUUUCAAUCUCAGGUUUGUUUUUGAAAAAACCCUGGGCCAGCACUCCAGCUGGAUGACAAGGGACAGAAGCAGAGUAGAGAGCACCCCUGCAGAUGGUCCCUGUCCUCUUAGGGAUGCUGCAGCCCCCACAUCACCUGCUUAGCCCCUGUGCAUAUUUCAAGUUUCACACAUACACACACCCUCAAAGAGGCAAGCGAAGCCACCAGAAAUCCAAGUGACGGUUGGAAAGGACCGGUCUGGGACUGGGAUCUGGAGGAGAGAAAGGCCGUGUUUGAGAAGUAACGACCUUGUAGAUGACUACCAGGUGGAAGUUGUGAGGAACCACUGGUGGCUUCCAGGUGACUGAUCUGGGCCUGCUAGAGAAUGAAGUCCAAACUGAACCCCCAUCUUUCUCCCCAAACCUCCUUUCCCUGACUUUCCCAUCUCACUUAAUGGCACUCCAGUCCUCUAGUUGAUUAGACCCAAAAUUUGGAGACGAUAGAAAAAUAAGCUUUUUUAAAAGUCAACUUUAUUGACAUAUAAUUUGCAUACAACAGAAAGUACUAAUUUUAAGCCUACCUACUGUUCAAUGAGUUUUGACACAUGUAUACAACCACGCAACCACCACUUUAAUCCAGUUCUAGAACAUUUCUGUGAGCCCCAGAAGAUGUCUUAAUACUCCUUUGCAGUCAAUACCCCCUCUUCAUGCGAACAAUCACUGAUGGGCUUUAUUUCACUGCAGAUAACUUUACUUGUUCUAGAACUUCAUCUAAAUGAGAUCCUAUAAUACAUACUCUUAUGUGUCAGGCUUCUUUUGCUUAGCAUGAUGUUUUGGAGAUUCAAUCAUUGGGCUGUGUGCAUAAGUAAUAGGUCAUUCCUUUCUAUUGCUUGUUAGUAUUCCAUUGGAUGAAGACACUAUAAUUUGUUUAUCCAUUCACUUGGGCAUUUAGGUUGUUAAUUUUUUUACUAUUAUGAAUAAACCUACUAUGAACAUUUGUGC
rnacentral:lncRNA from 1 species